GCCCCGCGUUUGUCGCGCCCGGACAUCUCGUUCAGCGUCGCGACACGGUGGGAGCUAAUGGAGGGAGAAGAGACGAGAACAGUGAGGAGAGCAGGGAGAAGAAAGGAGGAACGGGGCACGCAUGGUCAGAGAGGGCAUACGUGAGCUAAAUAGCUGACUCGGCAACUGUAAGCCAGAGAGAGGGAGGCAAAGGAAGGAUGUGGAGAGUGAAGCUUUCUGUAUAUCAGUUCCAGAUUUGCUGCUUUCCAUUUCUACAAGAGAUCUGGCAGCUGAGCACCAAGCUGCUCCAUCACUGAGUUUCUCUCCGGGCACUCCGGCUUCCUGCCACAGUCUGAAAUCUGCACUGAAAUGAUCCAGUAGGCAGAGGUGGACCCUGGAGGUGGGUCCAGCGGACGGCGCCGGUGCAGGGGGCAAAGAGCACUGGGGUUAGAGCCUCGGACAAAACACAGGGAGGCCUAAGCCUCCCUGAGCAGCGGGAGACUCUGGAGGAGGAGCAGAGGGAGACUCUCUCUCUUUCUCGAUGGAUGGAUGGAUGGAUGGACGGACG